UGUUCCGUCAGAGAGAAAGCGCGCGCGCGCGGGAGGUGCGACAGGUGAGUCUGCAGGUGCGCAGGAUUCGGCCCUCUUGUGGAAGAGCGUCAGGGAAGGAGACGCAGUCACGACUGACACACAUCACUCUGGAGCAAACGCAAUGUCAAAGGCAGGAGUGUUGAUUGUGUUUGAUCCGGGUUUGUGUUGAAGUAAAAGAGCAUCUUAUACAAUUGACGGCUACAAUUAGCUGCCGAUCAGAGCGCCGGAGAACAACACUUACACUCGCAUUUACAUGUCAGUUUGUUGAAUAAAAAGGAGGCAGAGAAAAAAAAGAGAGCCGUAGGAUUUUCCUUUUUCUGUGUUUGCUGUAUAAUUUGUGGAGAUUUGAGAAAAGAGGAGGAACGCAGAGAUGCUCAUUAACAUGUGAAAAGAAGCAAUCAGGGGCCACUGCUGAGACUAUUGUCCACACUCAUCCGUAGAGAGAGAGAGAGAGAGAGGGAGAGAGCAUUACAGGCCAAAGAUGAGCUCUUAUCCGCCUCUCUAUUGAAUUUUACCUAUGACUCUCUCUCUCUCUUCCGCACACGUUUCCUCUUUGGAGGAUUGUAAUAUACUCCAGUAAUGUUUUUUAUUGCUGCAGUUAAAUGUGGACUUACAGUAAAGAUGCUUGAAGUAAAGUUUUUAAUGCAAAAGUGUGUGUAAAAUGUUGAGAAAGUCAAUAUAAAUCUCACACACCUGAGCAUAUGAAUAUAAGCUGUUCUUUGACUGGUCAUGGGUAGGACCAGAUGUAAUCUGCGGAUGUUUUUUGCUAUUUCUGCAGAGAAUUUUGGUAAAAAUCUGUGGAUUUCUGCGCAGUUAUUUUGGGAGUAUCAUAACUAAAACCUUAAU